rnacentral:lncRNA from 1 species
UGAGCCUAAUUAAGUACUUAUAUAUCAAAAGCUUUGCUCUGCUGACAUCCAUCUGCAUCACAGCUUAACCUGCACAUUUAGAAAAUAUAUGCAGGGCUGAGUACUAAAAAGGUACUCAAUGGUCACAUGCCGAAAUAACUUUAAAGAUUGCUCUUAGAGCUAUAAAUUGAACUUGCCAUCUCAAGCAUCACACAGGAGUUUUAUUUAAAUAACCUGUGCACGCCAAAAACUAUAAAACAUCUCUACAAUAAUUAUAAACUUCAUAUGUGUCUGUAGACAUACUUCAUUGUACUAUACCAUAUCUGCAAUGAUAUCUGUGUGCCGAGAAGGUGGCCACCUUCUACGGUCACUGACCGGCCGAUACGCUAAACCGGCUCACGGUCCUAGACCGGCCGAUAUGCUAAACCAGCUCACGGACCUAGACCGGCCGAUACGCUAAACCGGCUCACGGUCCUAGGCCGGCCGAUAUGCUAGAUCGGCUCACGGUCCCUUGUGUACACUAAUCCUGUCUAACAUCUGGAUAGAACAGGAUCCGAAUUCGAUUAACUUCUGGUGCCAGAUAGGUAUCAUACAAGCUCAUAAAAUUUUGGCAAGUCAAUAACUUUAAUAUAACUUUAUUCAUGUAAACAUCAUGAAAUAGUGUGCACUUCAGAUUUUGAGUUUAGAAAGCCCACCUGAUAUGCUUAAUGAAGUAGAAAUCCUUGCUUGUUCACUUUAUAAAGCCACUCGAACCUUCAUUAUAAUGAGGUUCCCAAGGUAAGAUUGAAUAGAUAGACAAGAAAUAAAUAGAAAAGAACUCCUAGUUGAAACUUAUAUCUCUUGAAACUUUAGGGUUGCUUCCUCUAAUCUAAGUAAUCUACUUUUCUGAACUUAACUUAUUAAAAGCAUACUAACAUAUUAUCUAAAUCACAACUUAAUUUACGAUAAUUGUAACUCUGGCGUUAAUCAUAACUCCACUCGCUCUAAUUUAAUGAGUAGCUAUCAACUGGAAAUAAUAUAUAUUGUCUAAUAUAUACCAUAUGAUUUAUGUAUAAAUUAAUCUUAAUGUACUAAAAUAAUUCUACAUAUUUAGGCCAAUUUAAUAAAUCAAAUUAAUUAUUAGCUAAUAAUCCUUCAUUUAAGCUUAUUAAGCUUAAAUUAAAAUACUAUUGAGUUCAAUCAAAUAAAUUAAUGGCCCAACUUAACAAAUUAAUUCUAUCAUCUUAUGUACUACCAAAUUCCAACACAAUUUAUUAUUGCUGAUCCCAUUGAUGUUAAUAGGCCCAAAUAUUAUUUAAACCCAAUAUGAAAUUCUCAAAGCUCAAUUACUCAAAAUAAAUAAAAAACUAAAUACUAGAACUUAAGUCUAGAAUAUGCUAAAGUCAACAUCUCUCUUCUUCUUUCUUUUUCUUUUUACGCAGACUCCAUUUGUCUCUGUUCUCUCACCUGCGUCUCUCACUUUCCCUCUCCCUCUCGCCCGGCGACGUCGCCGGUCCUCCCCGCCUCCGGCGUGGCGAGGCCGGCUCCUCAUCUUCUCCUUCCUCUCUAUUCCCUAUUUCUUUCUCUAAUUCUAAAAUUCCCAAUUUCUAGGGUUUUCGGCCUCCCUUUCCCCUCUGAAAUUCGCCUCUCCGGCGAGUGCUGCCUCUGCCACCGCCGUCUCCGUCGCACCACCGCCACCUCUGUCUCAGGUAAUCUAUCUUCCUCCCUCUCUCACGAUCGAUCUCUCUCUGUCCUCUCUCUCUCUCUCUCCCUCUCGAUCUUCCCCUCUGCCCUCUUGCUUGCGGCGGCAGCGGCAGCGCAUGUAGCGCCGGCGGUCGCCGCCGCUCUGCUCUUCUCUCCCUGCCUCUAUCUCGCUCUACUUUCUCUCAUGUCCGUGUCUCUCUGUCUUUGUCUUACUCUCUGUUUCUCUCCCUCGCUCAAACUCUCUCUGCUACUGGCGGCCACCGCGGACCGCCGUGGCGCAGGCAACGCCGGCAGUCGCGCCUUUGCCGCGGUGGCUCGCGGCUGCUGCUAUCGCUUGCCUCUUCUUCCUCCUCUGUUUCUGUUUCUCUUACUUUCUUUCUUUUCUAGUUUAAUAGCUUGUUUAGCAAAUUCCUAACUAUUUCCUUAUCUCAGGAAUCGAUGAUUCAACUCCGGCGAGGCAGCCCGCCUCCUGAUCAAUGCUCAAGAUUCUAUUUUUUCUACCUUUCUUAUUGUAAAUUUAUGUUCUUUCAUUGAUUGAUUAUUGAAAAACUGAAGCUGUAAUGGUUGGGAAAUCGUACUGUGCUUAUAGAAAUUAGAGUUAGAGAUAUCUGUUUGUGCUUAACUGGUGUAGCUAUGUCUUUUUCACUGCUUUUCUUUACAUACUGAAUAUACUGUAUUGAAUAAGAAAGACUACCUUCUUUGAUGUCCGCUGGGGAGGAUGUGUGUUUGAAUGGAUGAUUGCUGCUUGUUUAAGAUUUGCAGAAUGGAAACAAAAACGGAAUUACUGAGGCUACUCAAGAUAUACUGGUUUGAGUCGGUUGAUGUGAAGCAGCUGCGUAAAAGUUACAAGCUACGCGUCCUUCUGUUAGCUAAUCUGACUUAACAACUCUAAUUAAUGUCUUAAAUCUAAUUAAAAGUUAAUUACUUUACUAAUGAUAUAAAGGAUUGGACUUGGACUUCUUUCUAUAUAAUAAAACAACUAGCCCAUAUGAUAAGCUUUGGGCUUCAGAAUUAAUUGAAUAAUUG